ACUUCACCAUUGUUAUGAAACUCAUGUAUUGAUUUUGAGUGCGAUCGAGAUAUUGGUGCGGUUCAAUCAGAUAGAACUUCACUCUUUAAAAAAAAAAAAGGAAACAAUAGAGUUGUGUUUUAUUUGAUUGAGCCGUGCCAAUAUCACGCACAGUAACUCAUGGUUUCUGUCAAAGGGACGUCGUUAUAUAAGUCAGUAUCGGAUUCUCAAUGAGGUAUUGUUCUAAGGAUGUCUAUAUAGUAUGACAUGAGUUUGAGGUAAACCAAAGUUAAUACCGAACAUUACCUCCAUUGAGGGUACGAGACUCUCCCAUUGAGCGAGCUACCCUCAGCAGAUUUUGAAUAUGCAGGCUUUAUAUUGUGUAGUAUAUGUAUAUAUAUCAUGUGUGGAGUUGCAUGCAGAGCUUUCAUGGUGGUUUUAAGUGGGGGUGCAUCAUACCUCAAGGAGAAAAAAGGACCAUUUCAAAGUUACUGAGAUUUUUUUCUAGAAGGCAAUGAGAGUGGUAGAGUAGUAGGUAAGAUAAAUAUUUUUAAUUAAUGAGAUUGAUUUUUUUUUUUUUUGUAUCAGUUACUUCUAGUGUAAAAGGUGUACAACCUUUUUGACAAAUUGAUAUGGUAGUUUAACAAGGCUUCUUUAUAA